AUACAUUACGGCAGGGAAGCCAUACAUGAUCAAGAAGGUGGUUCACCAGGGCCGAGGGCUUAAACAUGCACUAGCCCGGUUAUUGCGGACCGCAUGCGAAUUCCAAAGGUGGAAAUCAGACUGCAAAGUUUGUGGUUAGUGGGGGACGUGCGUUCGCGCCUCUCCCCG